UACAGAGGGGGCAAGCGUUAUUCGGAAUUAUUGGGCGUAAAGGGCGCGUAGGCGGCUUUUCAAGUGACGGGUGAAAUCCCUCGGCUUAACCGAGGAACUGCCUGUCAGACUGGAAGGCUUGAGACCGGGAGAGGUGAGUGGAAUUCCCAGUGUAGCGGUGAAAUGCGUAGAUAUUGGGAGGAACACCAGUGGCGAAGGCGGCUCACUGGACCGGAACUGACGCUGAGGCGCGAAAGCGUGGGGAGCGAACAGG
rnacentral:rRNA from 1 species